rnacentral:rRNA from 1 species
GACAGAGGGUGCAAACGUUGUUCGGAAUUACUGGGCGUAAAGCGCGUGUAGGCGGCUGUGUAAGUCGGGCGUGAAAUCCCAUGGCUCAACCAUGGAAGUGCACCCGAAACUGCGUAGCUAGAGUCCUGGAGAGGAAGGUGGAAUGCUUGGUGUAGAGGUGAAAUUCGUAGAUAUCAAGCGGAACACCGGUGGCGAAGGCGGCCUUCUGGACAGUGACUGACGCUGAGACGGCGAAAAGCGUGGGGAGCAAACAGGG